rnacentral:rRNA from 1 species
AAAUUGAAGAGUUUGAUCAUGGCUCAGAUUGAACGCUGGCGGCAGGCCUAACACAUGCAAGUCGAACGGUAACAGGAAGAAGCUUGCUUCUUUGCUGACGAGUGGCGGACGGGUGAGUAAUGUCUGGGAAGCUGCCUGAUGGAGGGGGAUAACUACUGGAAACGGUAGCUAAUACCGCAUAACGUCGCAAGACCAAAGAGGGGGACCUUCGGGCCUCUUGCCAUCGGAUGUGCCCAGAUGGGAUUAGCUAGUAGGUGGGGUAACGGCUCACCUAGGCGACGAUCCCUAGCUGGUCUGAGAGGAUGACCAGCCACACUGGAACUGAGACACGGUCCAGACUCCUACGGGAGGCAGCAGUGGGGAAUAUUGCACAAUGGGCGCAAGCCUGAUGCAGCCAUGCCGCGUGUAUGAAGAAGGCCUUCGGGUUGUAAAGUACUUUCAGCGGGGAGGAAGGGAGUAAAGUUAAUACCUUUGCUCAUUGACGUUACCCGCAGAAGAAGCACCGGCUAACUCCGUGCCAGCAGCCGCGGUAAUACGGAGGGUGCAAGCGUUAAUCGGAAUUACUGGGCGUAAAGCGCACGCAGGCGGUUUGUUAAGUCAGAUGUGAAAUCCCCGGGCUCAAC